rnacentral:lncRNA from 1 species
UUCAUUAGCUCAAAUAACAUAUUCUUUUCUGAUAGCAAGGCCCAGAAAGCUACCACCUGCUGCUGUUUCUGCCUCUUCUGGCCAUUCAACAAGUGUUCACUGAUGACUCUCGGGAGAAAGUCAAGGCACAGAGAUGAAUAAGGCCCAGGCCCCGCCCUGCAGACCCCCAGGCCACUGGAUGACAUCCCUCCUGAAAGAGCAAUGAAUGCCAGGCCUUGUCUGAUAAGAGCUAUGGAAAGGCUGUCAUGAAAGUGCAGAGAAGACAGAGGGCUUUCCUGCCUAAGGGAAUCAGAGAGAAAUGUAACUGCCAAAGGGACCGGAUACACGUGUCCUCCAGCCAACACGUCAGCUCCCUGCAGGCACACUCCGCAGAAAGCCAAGUUCAAAUCAAAAUGGUGCUUGGCUUGCUUCUCCCAGGCAGGCUGCCUGAUGGUUCCUGGAUAUGCCGUGUGUGUCCACACCUCUGGGCCUCUGCUCAGGUAGGUCCCUCUGCCUGGGGUGCCCUCUCUGACUUGGUCAGCUCCUCCCCAUUCUCCAAGACCCAGCAAAAGUCCACUCCUCCAAGAAGUCUUUCCUCAG